rnacentral:lncRNA from 1 species
AGAAAAUUUGAGAAUUCAGAAACAGCUUCAAACUUUAUAAGGUGGUGCCUAUACCACAUAAGUGGUGCCUAUAGAUCAGACUGGGCCUGAAAGGAACAGAAUGCCUAAAAAGCUUUCUUUGGAGUCCUCUGGAAAAAGGGUUAUGGAUGUUGGGAUAGGAACCCAUUAUGAAAAUUAUGUUCACUUCUACAAAGUGAAAGUGAUAAGAAAGUCAAAAGGAUCUUACAUGUCAGAUACUGAGACCAGUAUGAGGACAGUUUCUUAG